GAGCAGCCGCGCGAGUUGGGAAGGACGGAGAGCUGCUGUGCAGUCUUCGCGGCUGGACGCCCUCUGACUGGGACCCCGCGACUGCAGCCCCUGGAGCUUAGGGAAUGCAGCUCGGAAUCUCUUUCCCGGGGCGCCAUCUACAGGCAGGUUAAAAAGAUCCUGAACCCCUUUUCUUCUCCCCUCCCCCCAACACACACACCCUUGCAUUGGCCUGGCUCGGGGGAAGGGCGGUGGAGGGGGGCGGCCACGGAGCUGCCCGGCCGGGCCCACUGAGCCCUGUCCAAGCUGUGCAUAAAUAGAACCCGAGUAAGGGCUGCAAAACGCAUUCAGGUGGGGCUGCAGUUACCCUGGGGAGUAGAGGGCAAAAGAAGAUUCCCAUCCAGUACUGAUGGAGUAAGAGCCCCUACGUCUUAUGCCAUGUUGAAAUAUUUUAAUUACUUAAAUCCGCCUAUGUAAAAAGCCUUUUUUCCGGCAAUAGAAUAAGUCUGGAAGAGAUCUUGGGAGAGCUUAAUAGGCUAGAGGUUGCUGCACGCUGGCACUUUCAGAGGAUUCACCCACUGAGCACCUUCUGUGCUACGUGGAAAGGCGCGCUGGGGGACACCUCAUUGCUUCCUUUUUUUGGGUGAGGCCUUGGAGACUGGCCGGGACAGCAGCGGGCCGGGUGGAUUGGAUGGAAACCCGAGCCCUGCCGCAAGACUGAGGCGAUAAUGGGAAAGUAAACAACGCCGUGGCUUUGUUCCUUUCAUUCAGGCCUUCUUCAGGUGAGUGGUGAAUAUACAAGGUACUUCUGAAUUCGUUAUGGGGAAGUUUUCAUUUGCGCUUGCAGGUAGGCACUUCUGCCAAAGUGAGAAGCUGGCGUCUUGCGCCCCCCAGCGGCUUCCUGGCAGAGGAGAGCUGCAAAAGCCCGGCCCUUCCUGGAUUCUAAGAAUGAAGAGCUUGCUCUCCUAGCAUUUCUGAACCCCAGAGGUGUCUCCUAAGGACGCGGGGAGGGGGUAGGGGGAAGCGGGGCCAGGCGGCAUUAUGCCCCGUUUGUUCGCUAGUUUCUUUUCUUUCUUUCUUGAUGUAUAAAAUGAUGAUAUGCCUUGAUUGGAUAAAAUAUGUUAAUUUUAAGUGAUUGGAAUAUAGGUAUUACUCUUUUAAAACUAUUAAACUUUUCUUUUCUUUUCUUUUUUGAGAUGGAUUCUCGCUCUGUUGCCCAGGUGGAGUGCAGUGGCACGAUCUCGGCUCACUGCAACCUCCACCUCCCGGGUUCAAGCGAUCCUUCUGCUUCAGCUUCCCGAGUAGCUGGGACUACAGGGUGAAGCGUGGAUCUGCACAUGGGGAGGCUUCAGAUGACAACUGAGACAAGAAACAGGAAGCUGAGAAAGGAGGACACCUCCCACAUACACACCUAGCAAAAGCUGGACAUUUCUGGUCAGUCAUCCUUAUGCAAAGACUUUCUGGAAGGAGCAGUUAUUCUUGGAUCCAGAAGCCAGACGUCUGUGGGGCUUUGCUCCUGAGACUGUGACCUUUGAUUCCUGCACUCCUCCUCUUGCCAUCUGACGCCGGUCUGCGCCUGUGACUGAGUGAAAAUCGUCAUAACUGUACUCGGAGGUUAACUCUGGCAUGACUGGGAUGGAAUCCCAGGCAACAUGCUGGAGGCAGGAAAGAAAGCCAGCCGGCGAGUCAGAACCAAACACCCUGGAUGGCACCUUUCCUUACACAUGCGGUUCACAGGACCCUUGGGAAUCCUCUGCGCACACCGAGGCAAGCAGCAAUGGAAGAAAUUAUCUUCCACUCCCUUCUUGGUGAAAAUGUCUAUUUUCCAGAAAUGAAUUACAGUAAUAAAUUGUGAAAA